AACAGACCUUUUCUGAUUGGGCUAUUUUUCACCAUCCAUCGAGAACCAGAGGGCGAAGAACAAAACAUGGCAACGCUUUACGAAGAUGCCGAAGCUUGGAACGCAGUAAGCCGUUUCCGGAUGCUAUCAAAUGUCCAAUCCAUGGCGUCGAGUACUGUUCUCGACUACGACGAAGAUGAUAAUGCCACUUCGCCUACCAUCUCUGUGCUGGCAAGUUGUUGCGUGUGAUUGAUCAUUUGCCUAUCUAUAAUUUUUGUGAUUUUUCCGUUUUGAUGUUCGGCGGACAAAUGUGAGGUCUACUUGCGGCAAGAAUCUUCCCGCGAGAAAAAUGCGAGUGGUGGAUUCGGAUUUUCGACCGAAGAACCUGGAAUCUACACGGCCUGUUUCGCGGAAGAUGGCGGCAACCGCGACGGAGAGGAGAGCAGCUCCCAUGAUAUAAAUAGCCUCGCUGGGGGAUUCUCAAUCGAAAGAAUCCAAUUCCACUUCCCAAUCUCCGGGCAACGCGAGACUCACCUGUAAGAAUGAUAUCUAUAGCUGCUACGAUAGUCACGCGACCUUCUUCUUCAUAAUUACUGCUCAAAGCGCAAACAGCCCGUCGGAUUUUGACUCCUUCGGCUUCAUUAUCGCAAACUGAUUCUUUACUUGAAGCCCGGAUGCUGUUUGUGCGAUGGUCUCAAAGAAAAACUGCAAGCCGCCUAUCUGAUCGCCGGCUCCGAUUCUCUCCACGAUGUGAGGGAUAUCACUACUAACCCAGAAUGGGAGAGAGCUGACCAGUAUGGGAUUCCCGUGCUCGCGAAAGUGCUCUCCGAUGGCUCGGAGAAAGGGUUUGCAAAAGAAGGUUUGGCCGUGGAGGGGAAAAAGGGCAGAAAAGUAGAGAUUUUGACCUGGUCAAAAGUUGUAAACAUGAACAAACACAACAUUCAUUUGAAGGUUUUGUAGGUUUCUUAUCUCCACAUGAUUACCAGAGUUCCAAACUUCUCAAAAAAGAAAAGGCCCUGAUAGUUCUGUUCAUGAAGGGGAGGAUCAUUCAUUUACCCGACUUCCCCGGCCGACCACUUGAUCUGUUUUGUGUAUGUAUAUCUUGUUUGCCAGAGCUUUCUUCAAGCUUUUCCCUUUUUAUUUUCAUUUUUUUUAGGGUUUUUGGUGUGUUCUUACAAAGACAUCUACUUAAAUUAUUCAUUCAUGCAUGACAACUGGGUCAAUUGAUGAAUGAUUUAAAGUUAGUGAAUCAUUUUGUUGGAAUUUGGAAGUGUGAGGGGGCAUUUUGAAAUUGUACUUUAUUUAGAGGGAAUUGUACUUAAAUUAUUUAAUCUUCUGAUUUUCAAGACAUGUCUCCUAGGAGAAUCUCUAGGUUUCUAUUAUUAUUAUUAUUAUUUUGACAAUGCAGCUAAAUUUUAAUUUUCUCGAACUAUAGAAUAAAUGUGUAAUUUAAGUUAAAAAUAAAUUAUUUGGC